GGCACCAUUGGGUCGGUAUUUUCUUGACGUCAAAGCUCUCCACAUUGGUGGCCCCUGCUCUUAUGUGCCUUCCAGCAUCAAAACCUUCCAAGUUGAUGGUUUACCAGCAUCCAAACCCUCCAGACCACCUAUCACUAGGUUUGCUGUGCUCCCAUAUGCUUCCCGACGCCAAAAAACUCCUGGUCGGUAAUUUUUCGAUGUCAACACUCUCUAUACCGACCGUCACCAAGAUCGCUACAAUCCCAUGAGCUAGCCUCCUGGCACCAAGCUUCGUCAAGUCAGUAAUUUUCCGAUGUCAAAAUCCAUCUGGUGCCCCCUUGCGCCUCUCGGGCCCAAGACCAACAAGAUGGUCCUCUUUGAAACCUCUG
rnacentral:lncRNA from 1 species